rnacentral:rRNA from 1 species
ACUCAAAGGAAUUGACGGGGGCCCGCACAAGCGGUGGAGCAUGUGGUUUAAUUCGACGCAACGCGAAGAACCUUACCUGGGCUCGAAAUGCAGUGGACCGGAGUAGAAAUAUUCCUUCCCCGCAAGGGGCUGCUGUAUAGGUGCUGCAUGGCUGUCGUCAGCUCGUGUCGUGAGAUGUUGGGUUAAGUCCCGCAACGAGCGCAACCCUUAUCUCCAGUUGCUACCAUUUAGUUGAGCACUCUGGCGAAACCGCCUCGGAUAACGGGGAGGAAGGUGGGGAUGACGUCAAGUCCUCAUGGCCUUUAUGUCCAGGGCUACACACGUGCUACAAUGGCCGGUACAAACCGUCGCAAACCCGUGAGGGGGAGCUAAUCGGAAAAAGCCGGCCUCAGUUCGGAUUACAGUCUGCAACUCGACUGUAUGAAGCUGGAAUCGCUAGUAAUCGCGGAUCAGAAUGCCGCGGUGAAUACGUUCCCGGGCCUUGUACACACCGCCCGU